GAGGAAAGUCCGGGCUCCAUAGGGCAGAGUGCCAGGUAACGCCUGGGAGGCGUGAGCCUACGGAAAGUGCCACAGAAAAUAACCGCCUAAGCACUUCGGUGCCGGUAAGGGUGAAAAGGUGCGGUAAGAGCGCACCGCACGGCUGGCAACAGUUCGUGGCUAGGUAAACCCCACUCGGAGCAAGACCAAAUAGGGUUCCAUCAGGCGUGGCCCGCGUCGGAACCGGGUAGGUUGCUAGAGGCGUCCAGUGAUGGCCGUCGUAGAGGAAUGACUGUCCUCGACAAAACCCGGCUUA
rnacentral:RNase_P_RNA from 1 species